rnacentral:rRNA from 1 species
AAUAUUGGACAAUGGGCGAAAGCCUGAUCCAGCCAUGCCGCGUGUGUGAAGAAGGUCUUCGGAUUGUAAAGCACGUUAAGUUGGGAGGAAGGGCAGUAAGUUAAUACCUUGCUGUUUUUACGUUACCGACAGAAUAAGCACCGGCUAACUUCGUGCCAGCAGCCGCGGUAAUACGAAGGGUGCAAGCGUUAAUCGGAAUUACUGGGCGUAAAGCGCGCGUAGGCGGUUCGGAAAGAAAGAUGUGAAAGCCCCGGGCUCAACCUGGGAACUGCUUUCAAAACUGGCAAGCUAGAGUAUGGCAGAGGGUGGUGGAAUUUCCUGUGUAGCGGUGAAAUGCGUAGAUAUAGGAAGGAACACCAGUGGCGAAGGCGACCACCUGGGCUAAUACUGACACUGAGGUGCGAAAGCGUGGGGAGCAAACA